UUUGGUACCGCUUGCAGGGCGGCGACCACGAGUUACCUGCCCCUAUACAAUGAGUUAAUUGCCCCUGUAUUUCAUCUGUUAAGUUGUACUUAAAAUAGGCUAACUCUUGCGCAAAAAAAGAUAGAAAAUAUCAAAUAUGGGAAAGCGGGACGAUAGACCAAACAUAUCUACGAAGAGACCAUUGGUGCCGGAAAUAUCUCUGUCUUUAGUAGUGUCCGCGAGGUAUAUUGAUUUAUAAAACAUGAGAUAUUAGUACCAUAUUGCCCGGGAAUCAAAAGAUUUUUGCAAGAUCGCAGAAUUCAGCUAGACACAAAAAAAGACAAUCACUACAGCCUUCCAAGAAGAUGGACUGCCUCACAAUAGUUUCCUUGAGGACUGUCUUGAAAUAUCCAGAGUUUAAGGAUCCGAAACAGUGACAUGUGAGAAAGUUGGUUGGCGGGGAUUUCUACUUUCACUUUUGAGGAUGCAGUAAACGGACGACAGGAGGGGAAGCUGCGCAUUUCCUCGUUGGAUGAUUUGUGUACAUGUGUGGACGUGGAUGUCAUUUCAGUGAGUUCACUUGGAUUUGAGAGGCUGAGCAAAGGCACAAAGAAAUUGUUUCCUGAGUAUAGAGUCUGAAACGAGGAUAUUGCAUCAUUCCUGAUCAGGCAAGUCUGGCUUGUUCAUUUAUUUUAUUUAUCAUUUCUUUUUUUCUUUUUUUUUGAAUUAUUUUUUAUUCAUUUAUUGGUUUACAAUAUUACAGAAGGUGAAAUGUACAUGUUUAACUAUUUCUGUGUAUCAUGUAUGUGUAUUUGUUUUAAUUUUUAAUUUUCUUUGGGGGGGGGGGGGGGGGCUGUUAUCAGUUUGUGUAGAGUGUCAGUUUUGUGUAUUACUUAAAGAUCAGUACCUACUGUUGAACAUUGGGCAGAUAUGUAAAUUGGCACUUGGUUGGUUUAUGCAGUCCUCCCUGACAUUGACAGGGCUUUCCCAUGGAGACUGUUUUCCAAGUUAUGCUAGAGUGUCAGUCAUCUAUCUGUGUCUCGCAAGUACUUGGUGCAGACAGCUAUCUAAUAUACAUGAUGAUUUCUUUUGGCAAGAUCUUUCUACUGGUACCAAGAUAUUUGCCCUUGUGACCUUGACCAUCUUUGGAAUUGGCCAUUAUCUGGGGCAUUUGUGUUUCACAAACACAUCUUGUUUUCAAAUAAGCCUGAAAACUGUCAAAUGUCAUACAGAUUAUUGCUCAGGAAAAGAUGUGCGCAUUUGUCGAGCAAAAUAAAAAUGAUAUAUAUUGUGUAUUAAUUUAAGAUGAAAAACAUACCGUACUUAAAUAUGAAUUUGCUCGACGCAUGUGCUGUAU